rnacentral:rRNA from 1 species
UACGGAGGAUGCAAGCGUUAUCCGGAAUGAUUGGGCGUAAAGCGUCCGCAGGUGGCUGUGUAAGUCUGCUGUUAAAUAGUGAGGCUCAACCUCAUAAAGGCAGUGGAAACUACACGGCUAGAGUGCGUUCGGGGCAGAGGGAAUUCCUGGUGUAGCGGUGAAAUGCGUAGAUAUCUGGAGGAACACCGGUGGCGAAGGCGGCAUCCUGGACCGGGAUUGACACUGAGGCGCGAAAGCCAGGGGAGCAAACGGG